rnacentral:rRNA from 1 species
GAUGAACGCUGGCGGCGUGCCUAAUACAUGCAAGUCGAGCGAACGGACGAGAAGCUUGCUUUUCUGAUGUUAGCGGCGGACGGGUGAGUAACACGUGGAUAACCUACCUAUAAGACUGGGAUAACUUCGGGAAACCGGAGCUAAUACCGGAUAAUAUUUUGAACCGCAUGGUUCAAAAGUUAAAGUCGGUCUUGCUGUCACUUAUAGAUGGAUCCCGGCUGCUUUGGAUAGUUGGUAAGGUAACAGCUUACCAAGGCAACAAUGCAUAGCCGACCUGUAAGGCUGGUAGGCAACAUUGGAAAUGUGACUAAGCCCAGAAUCCUAAGAGAGGCAGCGGUAGGCAAGGUGACGCAAUGGGCGGCAAAAUGACGGAGCAACACCGCGUCAGUGAUAUAAGCCCUCGGAUCGUAAAACUCUGUUAUUAGGGAAGAACAUAUGUGUAAGUAACUGUACAGAGAUUGACGGUAACUAAUCAGAAAGCCACGGCUAACUACGUG